rnacentral:rRNA from 1 species
AUUGAACGCUGGCGGCAGGCCUAACACAUGCAAGUCGAGCGGAUGAAGGGAGCUUGCGCCUGGAUUCAGCGGCGGACGGGCGAGUAAUGCCUAGGAAUCUGCCCGGUAGUUGGGGAUAACGUCCGGAAACGGGCGCUAAUAUCGCAUACGUCCUGAUGUUGAAAGUGGGGGAUCUUCGGUCCUCACGGUAUCUGAUGAGCCUAGGACGGAUUGGCUAGGUGGUGAGGUAAAGUCCUACCAAGGCGACGAUCCGUAACUGGUCUGAGAGGAUGAUCAGUCACACUGGAACUGAGACACGGUCCAGACUCCUACGGGAGGCAGCAGUGGGGAAUAUUGGACAAAGGGCGAAAGCCUGAUCGAGCCAAGCCGCGUGUGUGAAGAAGGUCUUCGGAUUGUAAAGAACUUUAAGUUGGGAGGAAGGGCAGUAAGUUAAUACCUUGCUGUUUUGACGGUACCAACAGAAUAAGCACCGGCUAACUUCGUG